AUUGAACGCUGGCGGCAUGCCUUACACAUGCAAGUCGAACGGCAGCACGGGAGCGAUCCUGGUGGCGAGUGGCGAACGGGUGAGUAAUGUAUCGGAACGUGCCCAGUCGUGGGGGAUAACGUAGCGAAAGCUACGCUAAUACCGCAUACGAUCUAUGGAUGAAAGCGGGGGAUCGCAAGACCUCGCGCGAUUGGAGCGGCCGAUAUCAGAUUAGGUAGUUGGUGGGGUAAAGGCUCACCAAGCCGACGAACUGUAGCUGGUCUGAGAGGACGACCAGCCACACUGGGACUGAGACACGGCCCAGACUCCUACGGGAGGCAGCAGUGGGGAAUUUUGGACAAUGGGCGCAAGCCUGAUCCAGCAAUGCCGCGUGCAGGAUGAAGGCCUUCGGGUUGUAAACUGCUUUUGUACGGAACGAAACGGCGAGCUCUAAUACAGUUUGCUAAUGACGGUACCGUAAGGAUAAGCACCGGCUAACUACGUGCCAGCAGCCGCCGUAA
rnacentral:rRNA from 1 species